GAAUUCACUAGUGAUUCAGGCCUAACACAUGCAAGUCGAGCGGUAGAGAGAAGCUUGCUUCUCUUGAGAGCGGCGGACGGGUGAGUAAUGCCUAGGAAUCUGCCUGGUAGUGGGGGAUAACGUUCGGAAACGGACGCUAAUACCGCAUACGUCCUACGGGAGAAAGCAGGGGACCUUCGGGCCUUGCGCUAUCAGAUGAGCCUAGGUCGGAUUAGCUAGUUGGUGAGGUAAUGGCUCACCAAGGCGACGAUCCGUAACUGGUCUGAGAGGAUGAUCAGUCACACUGGAACUGAGACACGGUCCAGACUCCUACGGGAGGCAGCAGUGGGGAAUAUUGGACAAUGGGCGAAAGCCU
rnacentral:rRNA from 1 species